rnacentral:lncRNA from 1 species
UGGAUUUGAUUUUGUUUUUGUAUUUGACUUUUUUUUUUUAGGUUAUGUGCUGCUUCUGAUGGUAGUACUGACAGCGUCUACUGAUGGAUGCUAAUGAAGAAGAGAAAGAUUAACAUCUACUGAAGGAUGUUAAUGAGAAAGAUUUGCAUCUACCGAUGGAUGUUGGAAGAGUUUGAGAGAGCAUCUAUUGAUGGAUGCUGCUAUGGAAGAGGAUGGUGACUAGACAUCUAUUGAUGGAUCUUAGGUGAUUAGGCAUCUACUGAUGGGUGCCACUGAAGAUAAGAAAGAUUGGUGUCUUCUGAGGGACACCAUGGAAGAUUAGCAUCUACUGAUGGAUGCUAUGAUGGAAACUGGGUCAAGCUAGUGACGUUAAAGAAGCGCUUGCUGGGAGGCAACCCAGUUCUCUGAACUUUUAAUUUUUAUUUUUGUUUUAAUUUUUGAUUUUGUCUAUUUCAUUUUAAUUUAUUUUUAUUGUGCUC